rnacentral:rRNA from 1 species
UACGGAGGAUCCGAGCGUUAUCCGGAUUUAUUGGGUUUAAAGGGUGCGCAGGCGGAAGAUUAAGUCGGCGGUGAAAUUUUGCAGCUCAACUGUAAAAGUGCCAUCGAUACUGGUUUUCUUGAGUGUGGAUGAAGUAGGCGGAAUUUGUGGUGUAGCGGUGAAAUGCAUAGAUAUCACGAGGAACUCCGAUUGCGCAGGCAGCUUACUAGGCCAUAACUGACGCUCAGGCACGAAGGCGUGGGGAUCGAACAGGAUUAGAUA